rnacentral:rRNA from 1 species
AGCGAACGCUGGCGGCAGGCUUAACACAUGCAAGUCGAGCGGGCAUCCUUGUGGUGUCCGCGGCAGACGGGUGAGUAACGCGUGGGAACGUGCCCUUCGGUUCGGAAUAACUCAGGGAAACUUGAGCUAAUACCGGAUACGUGCGAGAGCAGAAAGGUUUAUCUGCCGAAGGAUCGGCCCGCGUCUGAUUAGCUAGUUGGUGAGGUUAUGGCUCACCAAGGCGACGAUCAGUAGCUGGUCUGAGAGGAUGAUCAGCCACACUGGGACUGAGACACGGCCCAGACUCCUACGGGAAGCAGCAGUGGGGAAUAUUGGACAAUGGGGGCAACCCUGAUCCAGCCAUGCCGCGUGAGUGAUGACGGCCUUAGGGUUGUAAAGCUCUUUUCUCCGGGACGAUAAUGACGGUACCGGAGGAAUAAGCCCCGGCUAACUUCGUG